GGGGAAUCUUGCGCAAUGGGCGAAAGCCUGACGCAGCGACGCCGCGUGGGUGAUGAAGGCCUUCGGGUUGUAAAGCCCUGUGGGGAGGGACGAAUAAGUCAUGGCUAAUAUCCAUGGUGAUGACGGUACCUCCUUAGCAAGCACCGGCUAACUCUGUGCCAGCAGCCGCGGUAAGACAGAGGGUGCGAACGUUGUUCGGAAUUACUGGGCGUAAAGCGCGUGUAGGUGGCAUCGCGAGUCGGAUGUGAAAGCCCGGGGCUCAACCCCGGAAGUGCAUUCGAUACUGCGAAGCUAGAGUCCUGGAGAGGAUGGUGGAACUCUCGGUGUAGAGGUGAAAUUCGUAGAUAUCGAGAAGAACACCGGCGGCGAAGGCGGCCAUCUGGACAGUGACUGACACUGAGACGCGAAAGCGUGGGGAGCAAAC
rnacentral:rRNA from 1 species